UACGUAGGGUGCGAGCGUUGUCCGGAAUUAUUGGGCGUAAAGAGCUUGUAGGCGGUUUGUCGCGUCUGCUGUGAAAUCUCAAGGCUCAACCUUGAGCUUGCAGUGGGUACGGGCAGACUAGAGUGUGGUAGGGGAGACUGGAAUUCCGUGGUGUAGCGGUGAAAUGCGUAGAGAUCCGGAGGAACACCAAAGGCGAAGGCAGUGUCCUGGGGAGUACCUGACGGCUCAGGGUGCGAAAGCCAGGGGAGCGGAACGGG
rnacentral:rRNA from 1 species